CCUACGGGUGGCAGCAGUGGGGAAUAUUGCACAAUGGGGGGAACCCUGAUGCAGCGACGCCGCGUGGGGGAAGGAGGAUUUCGGGAUGGAAAGCCCUAUCAGCAGGGAAGAACAAUGACGGUACCUGACUCAGAAGCACCGGCUAAAUACGUGCCAGCAGCCGCGGUAAUACGUAUGGUGCAAGCGUUAUCCGGAUUUACUGGGUGUAAAGGGAGUGCAGGCGGCGCGUUAAGCCUGGUGUGAAAGCACGCGGCACAACCGAGGGACUGCAGUGGGAACUGGCGCGCUGGAGUGCCGGAGGGGUAGGCGGAAUGCCUGGUGUAGCGGUGAAAUGCGUAGAUAUUAGGAGGAACACCAGUGGCGAAGGCGGCCUACUGGACUGUGACUGACGCUGAGGCUCGAAAGCGUGGGGAGCAAACAGGAUUAGAUACCCCGGUAGUC
rnacentral:rRNA from 1 species